CGUUGUUUCUCCUUUCUCCAUUCUACUUUUUGGCAGGAUCAAUGUUCAUCAUCAGGUACUGUUAAUUAUGUCUUACUGUCAGCGAAACAUCCCGAACAAAUGAUUAAAAAACUAACUUUAUCACACAGAACCCUGGCCUUAAUUUCUAAUACAAUGCUUGUUGGAUACGUAAUCUAUAUUUUCUUUACUUCACUUUCAGUCACAAUUGAUGGAUGGUUGAAGCAAGCAGCACCAGCUCAAACCGCGGUUCUGUUCAAAGAGCUCCGGUUAAUCCUGCAUUCUGUUCUCAAAGAUCUCAUCCGAGAACCCGAGGUUGCAUGUUCAGUCCUUUGAUGGAUCCACUUGAUGAAGUAGCUCAUGCCUAAAUCCACUCUUCACGCUUGUUUGU